rnacentral:rRNA from 1 species
GAUGAACGCUGGCGGCGUGCCUAAUACAUGCAAGUCGAGCGAACGGACGAGAAGCUUGCUUCUCUGAUGUUAGCGGCGGACGGGUGAGUAACACGUGGAUAACCUACCUAUAAGACUGGGAUAACUUCGGGGAAACGUAGCUAAUACCGGAUAAUAUUUUGAACCGCAUGGUUCAAAAGUGAAAGACGGUCUUGCUGUCACUUAUAGAUGGAUCCGCGCUGCAUUAGCUAGUUGGUAAGGUAACGGCUUACCAAGGCAACGAUGCAUAGCCGACCUGAGAGGGUGAUCGGCCACACUGGAACUGAGACACGGUCCAGACUCCUACGGGAGGCAGCAGUAGGGAAUCUUCCGCAAUGGGCGAAAGCCUGACGGAGCAACGCCGCGUGAGUGAUGAAGGUCUUCGGAUCGUAAAACUCUGUUAUUAGGGAAGAACAUAUGUGUAAGUAACUGUGCACAUCUUGACGGUACCUAAUCAGAAAGCCACGGCUAACUACGUG